AGUCUACAUAAAGCAGCGGGGGAGGGGACUCCUGCUGCUGCUGCUGCUAAGUCGCUUCAGUCGUGUCCGACUCUGUGCGACCCCAUAGACGGCAGCCCACCAGGCUCCCCCGUCCCUGGGAUUCUCCAGAUGGUUCGGCUACCUUUCCUGCUCUUGGGAAGUGGUCUUCUUUAGGAAACAUGCUGAGGGGCCCAAAGCGCACUCCUCUCGUCACCAGAAGCCUGUGCUCUCGGGUGGCCCACGUGCUCUCGGGGGGCCUGCCUGUCGUGGUGGCAUCUACUGUGACCCAAUCUGCUGCAGUGCCUUCCUCUUGCAGAAGACACCUGGCUGUCUCUCCCAAGAUUGGCUGCCAUGAGCGUCUACGUCGCCAAGGGGAGACCCAGUCACCUCCUGCCUCCCUGAAUGAUGGAAACCAGAUUCAACAAUAGGAUAAAGCAUUCAUUGUAAAGAUUUUAAAGAUGGCAACAAAUUUUCUGAUGCUCCUCGGAUCUAGAGACAAGAGUCUAACUUCCCUCCCACUGAAUCUGGGCUAGCUUGAGAGGCUCGCCUGUAACCAAAAUAAUACAGCAAAAGUGAUACUCUGUAACAAGUCAGAGAAAGUCAUGCGGCGUCCAUUUUGCUCACUGGAACGCUUACUCGCGGAGCCCCAAAGUGUAAGAAGAGCAAGUACUCUAGGCCACUACUCCACGCGGAAGCCCCAGCCACAUGCAGAGGCCACAC
ensembl:lncRNA